CAUCUUUAACCCUAGCGAAGAGGUGUAUUAAAAGGGAGGGGAUAGAUAGACACUAGUGGUUGAGAAGAGUAGUUGGAGAAUUAGGUUGUGAGAGUCUCUCUUGGUUAUAAGUACUAUUCAUGGGUUCAGUUUGACAAUUGCUCCCCUCUGGUUUGGUUUCGGGUUUGUGUUUAUUAUCUAUUCCAUCUAUGUGUAUCUCGAGUUCUUCUUUAGAGUUAACGAAUCAGUUUGCACAUUUUAUUGCUCUGUUCGUUGAAUUGUUCUGGGUGGGUUUUUCUUCUUUUGGGGUGUUUAGACGUGUGGUCUAGGGUUUGUGGGUAUUGGGUACUGUCUGUAUUUCUCCUCUUAUCUUUUCUACGAUUUUUUUUCGUUUUUGGUAGUUUUUUUCCUUAGAAGUUUGGUGUGUGGUCUAGGGUUUGUGGGUACUAUUUAUAGAUUUUUCUUUCUUCUGUUUUGUUUAUGAAUUAGGGUUUUCUUGGCCUUUCUUGGGUUGGUUCUUCUUUCUUAACAGGGGUUUGUCAAGGGCAUGUAUUGUGUGGUUUUCAUGUUGUGUAAAGCUGUGUCCUAUUUGUUUUUAUGUUUGGAUUUUGAAGGGUUGAUAUGUACAGAAAAAGUAUGUGAGAUUGGGGUUUAUGGAGUAGAGCUCCUUGAAGUCCAAUAGUGGAUCUCAACUGGGGAAGAUUGAGCUGCUGAUCUAUGGAUCCCUCAGCCCUAUCCAUUCCCUUGUCAAAUGGAUAGGCUUGUGGCUUGCAUAUGUCUGGAGCUUCAUUACCCUCUGUCUGAUCCUUUUUUGGAUUGAAGGGAGCUCUAUCCUUCUCUCUCCAUUACACAUCUCCAUCUUCUCUCUCUCUCUCUCUCUCUCUCUCUCUCUAGAAUCAUCUUCAACUUUAUUGUGUUAGUAAGCUUUAUUAUGAUUACAAUGUUCUCAUUAAUUUAUGUGGCAAGUCUUUAGCAAAUCUUUUCUGCUUCUCUCUCCAUUAUUUAUUACAUGUACAUCUUGAUUUGUUCCCCUUUUUUUUUCUCUCUUAAAAUCAUCAUCUACUUUUAUUGUUUUGUGUAAAGGUUGUUUUGUUUACAAGUUGAUCAUUUAUGAAGGAAUAUUUAGCAAUCUUGUACUUUGAUUAGCAGUACCAUUGGGUUCCAACUGUUUUCUGCAGGCACCCUUCUGUUGGUACCCACGAGUACACAACGGUGAUCGAAGCCGCUCAUUUAGUAGUUCUUAUGAACGGUUCGAUUUAAUGUCGGUAGGCUUGUGGACGGCUCCCAUUGGUCAAAUUAGAACCAUAUAUAGAAAAUAAGUUCUGUUCAUUGAUUCGUACUGGUGUAUUUUGAUUGAUUGUGUGGUCAUGAUCUUGAGUUGGAUGUGUGUAGGUUUUUUGACCAAGCAAUGAUAAUUUGAGUACAAGUUAAAUUUC